GGGUUGUGAGGUUAAGCGACUAAGCGUACACGGUGGAUGCCCUGGCAGUCAGAGGCGAUGAAGGACGUGCUAAUCUGCGAUAAGCGUCGGUAAGGUGAUAUGAACCGUUAUAACCGGCGAUUUCCGAAUGGGGAAACCCAGUGUGUUUCGACACACUAUCAUUAACUGAAUCCAUAGGUUAAUGAGGCGAACCGGGGGAACUGAAACAUCUAAGUACCCCGAGGAAAAGAAAUCAACCGAGAUUCCCCCAGUAGCGGCGAGCGAACGGGGAGCAGCCCAGAGCCUGAAUCAGUGUGUGUGUUAGUGGAAGCGUCUGGAAAGGCGCGCGAUACAGGGUGACAGCCCCGUACACAAAAAUGCACAUGCUGUGAGCUCGAUGAGUAGGGCGGGACACGUGGUAUCCUGUCUGAAUAUGGGGGGACCAUCCUCCAAGGCUAAAUACUCCUGACUGACCGAUAGUGAACCAGUACCGUGAGGGAAAGGCGAAAAGAACCCCGGCGAGGGGAGUGAAAAAGAACCUGAAACCGUGUACGUACAAGCAGUGGGAGCACGCUUAGGCGUGUGACUGCGUACCUUUUGUAUAAUGGGUCAGCGACUUAUAUUCUGUAGCAAGGUUAACCGAAUAGGGGAGCCGAAGGGAAACCGAGUCUUAACUGGGCGUUAAGUUGCAGGGUAUAGACCCGAAACCCGGUGAUCUAGCCAUGGGCAGGUUGAAGGUUGGGUAACACUAACUGGAGGACCGAACCGACUAAUGUUGAAAAAUUAGCGGAUGACUUGUGGCUGGGGGUGAAAGGCCAAUCAAACCGGGAGAUAGCUGGUUCUCCCCGAAAGCUAUUUAGGUAGCGCCUCGUGAAUUCAUCUCCGGGGGUAGAGCACUGUUUCGGCAAGGGGGUCAUCCCGACUUACCAACCCGAUGCAAACUGCGAAUACCGGAGAAUGUUAUCACGGGAGACACACGGCGGGUGCUAACGUCCGUCGUGAAGAGGGAAACAACCCAGACCGCCAGCUAAGGUCCCAAAGUCAUGGUUAAGUGGGAAACGAUGUGGGAAGGCCCAGACAGCCAGGAUGUUGGCUUAGAAGCAGCCAUCAUUUAAAGAAAGCGUAAUAGCUCACUGGUCGAGUCGGCCUGCGCGGAAGAUGUAACGGGGCUAAACCAUGCACCGAAGCUGCGGCAGCGACG
rnacentral:rRNA from 1 species